GACGAACGCUGGCGGCGUGCCUAAUACAUGCAAGUCGAACGCACUCUCGUUUAGAUUGAAGGAGCUUGCUCCUGAUUGAUAAACAUUUGAGUGAGUGGCGGACGGGUGAGUAACACGUGGGUAACCUGCCCUAAAGUGGGGGAUAACAUUUGGAAACAGAUGCUAAUACCGCAUAAAACCUAAACACCGCAUGGUGUAGGGUUGAAAGAUGGUUUCGGCUAUCACUUUAGGAUGGACCCGCGGUGCAUUAGUUAGUUGGUGAGGUAAAGGCUCACCAAGACCGUGAUGCAUAGCCGACCUGAGAGGGUAAUCGGCCACACUGGGACUGAGACACGGCCCAGACUCCUACGGGAGGCAGCAGUAGGGAAUCUUCCACAAUGGACGAAAGUCUGAUGGAGCAACGCCGCGUGAGUGAAGAAGGUUUCGGAUCGUAAAACUCUGUUGUUGGAGAAGAAUGUAUCUGAUAGUAACUGAUCAGGUAGUGACGGUAUCCAACCAGAAAGCCA
rnacentral:rRNA from 1 species